rnacentral:tRNA from 1 species
GGCCACUUAGCUCAGCUGGUAGAGCAUGCACGUACAAAGCGUAGGCGGCGUUCAUGCGUGGGUUCAAAUCCCACCGAGGCUU